UGCGUAGGCGGAUUAAUAAGUCAGUGGUGAAAUCUCCCGGCUCAACCGGGAAACUGCCAUUGAUACUGUUAGUCUAGAGUUUAGAUGAAGUGGGCGGAAUGUAGCAUGUAGCGGUGAAAUGCUUAGAUAUGCUACAGAACACCGAUUGCGAAGGCAGCUCACUAAGCUAAAACUGACGCUCAUGCACGAAAGCGUGGGGAUCAAACAGGAUUAGAUACCCUGGUAGUC
rnacentral:rRNA from 1 species